rnacentral:rRNA from 1 species
UACGAAGGGGGCGAGCGUUGUUCGGAUUUACUGGGCGUAAAGGGUUUGUAGGUGGCUUGCUAAGUCAGACGUGAAAUCCCUCAGCUUAACUGGGGAACUGCGUCUGAGACUGGUGAGCUUGAGUGCAGGAGAGGAACGCGGAAUUCCUGGUGUAGCGGUGAAAUGCGCAGAUAUCAGGAGGAACACCAAUGGCGAAGGCAGCUCGCUGGGACGGUACUGACGCUGAGACGCGAAAGCGUGGGGAGCAAACAGG